rnacentral:rRNA from 1 species
CAGCCGCCACGGAAUACGGAGGGAGCUAGCGUUAUUCGGAAUUACUGGGCGUAAAGCGCACGUAGGCGGCUUUGUAAGUUAGAGGUGAAAGCCUGGAGCUCAACUCCAGAAUUGCCUUUAAGACUGCAUCGCUUGAAUCCAGGAGAGGUGAGUGGAAUUCCGAGUGUAGAGGUGAAAUUCGUAGAUAUUCGGAAGAACACCAGUGGCGAAGGCGGCUCACUGGACUGGUAUUGACGCUGAGGUGCGAAAGCGUGGGGAGCAAACAGGAUUAGAUACCCCGGUAGUCCCUGUCUCUUAUACA